CACGUAAGGGGCAAGCGUUGUUCGGAAUUAUUGGGCGUAAAGGGUACGUAGGCGGUUAUGUAAGCCCGGCGUGAAAUCCUGCAGCUUAACUGUAGAAUUGCGCUGGGAACUGCGUAACUUGAGUCAUGGAAGGGAAGUUAGAAUUCCAGGUGUAGGGGUGAAAUCUGUAGAUAUCUGGAAGAAUACCGGUGGCGAAGGCGAACUUCUGGCCAAUGACUGACGCUGAGGUACGAAAGUGCGGGGAGCAAACAGG
rnacentral:rRNA from 1 species